UACGGAGGGUCCGAGCGUUAUCCGGAGUCAUUGGGUUUAAAGGGUGCGCAGGCGGUAAAGUAAGUCAGUGGUGAAAUCCUGCAGCUCAACUGCAGAACUGCCAUUGAUACUGCUAUACUUGAAUGUAGUCGAAGUGGGCGGAAUGUGACAUGUAGCGGUGAAAUGCUUAGAUAUGUCACAGAACACCGAUAGCGAAGGCAGCUCACUAGACUAAUAUUGACGCUCAUGCACGAAAGCGUGGGGAGCGAACAGG
rnacentral:rRNA from 1 species